GGGGAUAUGGCUUAGUGGUUAGAGCAAUCGUCUCCAAAACGAUAGGUCCUCGGUUCAAAUCCGAGUAUCCCCA